UCUCUGGUGUCUCAUAUGGUAAAGAAUCUGCCUGCAAUGCAGGAGACCCAGGUUUGAUCCCUGGGUCGGGAA
rnacentral:tRNA from 1 species